GAUGAACGCUAGCGGCAGGCCUAACACAUGCAAGUCGAGGGGUAGAGGAAGCUUGCUUCCUUGAGACCGGCGCACGGGUGCGUAACGCGUAUGCAAUCUACCUUUUGCAGAGGGAUAGCCCAGAGAAAUUUGGAUUAAUACCUCAUAGUAUAUAUCAUUCGCAUGUUUGGUAUAUUAAAGUUCCAACGGUAAAAGAUGAGCAUGCGUCCCAUUAGUUAGUUGGUAAGGUAACGGCUUACCAAGACGAUGAUGGGUAGGGGUCCUGAGAGGGAGCUCCCCCACACUGGUACUGAGACACGGACCAGACUCCUACGGGAGGCAGCAGGGAGGAAUAUUGGUAAAUGGACGCAUGUCUGAACCAGCCAUGCCGCGUGCAGGAAGACGGUCCUAUGGAUUGUAAACUGCUUUUGUACGGGAAGAAACACUCCUACGUGUAGGAGCCUGACGGUACCGUAAGAAUAAGGAUCGGCUAACUCCGUGCCAGCCGCCGCAGUAAGAC
rnacentral:rRNA from 1 species